rnacentral:rRNA from 1 species
CCUACGGGCUGCAGCAGUGGGGAAUAUUGCACAAUGGGCGCAAGCCUGAUGCAGCCAUGCCGCGUGUAUGAAGAAGGCCUUCGGGUUGUAAAGUACUUUCAGUCGGGAGGAAGGUGGUGAGCUUAAUACGCUCAUCAAUUGACGUCACCGACAGGAGAAGCACCGGCUAACUCCGUGCCAGCAGCCGCGGUAAUACGGAGGGUGCAAGCGUUAAUCGGAAUUACUGGGCGUAAAGCGCACGCAGGCGGUUGAUUGAGUCAGAUGUGAGAUCCCCGGGCUUAACCCGGGAAUUGCAUCUGAUACUGGUCAGCUAGAGUCUUGUAGAGGGGGGUAGAAUUCCAUGUGUAGCGGUGAAGUGCGUAGAGAUGUGGAGGAAUACCGGUGGCGAAGGCGGCCCCCUGGACAAAGACUGACGCUCAGGUGCGAAAGCGUGGGGAGCAAACAGGAUUAGAUACCCUAGUAGUC